AACGCUAGCUACAGGCUUAACACAUGCAAGUCGAGGGGCAGCACAGUGUAGCAAUACACGGGUGGCGACCGGCGCACGGGUGCGUAACGCGUAUCCAACCUUCCCGUUACUCUUGGAUAGCCUUCCGAAAGGGAGAUUAAUACAAGAUGGUAUUCAAAUUCCGCAUGUUAUUUGAAUUAAAGAUUUAUCGGUAACGGAUGGGGAUGCGUGACAUUAGAUAGUAGGCGGGGUAACGGCCCACCUAGUCUACGAUGUCUAGGGGUUCUGAGAGGAAGGUCCCCCACACUGGAACUGAGACACGGUCCAGACUCCUACGGGAGGCAGCAGUGAGGAAUAUUGGUCAAUGGUCGGAAGACUGAACCAGCCAAGUAGCGUGAAGGAUGAAGGUUCUAUGGAUUGUAAACUUCUUUUAUACGGGAAUAAAACCUCCCACGUGUGGGAGCUUGUAUGUACCGUAUGAAUAAGCAUCGGCUAACUCCGUGCCAGCAGCCGCGGUAAUACGGAGGAUGCGAGCGUUAUCCGGAUUUAUUGGGUUUAAAGGGAGCGUAGACGGGAUGUUAAGUCAGUUGUGAAAGGCUGCGGCUCAACCGCAGCACUGCAGUUGAUACUGGCGUCCUUGAGUGCGGUUGAGGUAUGUGGAAUUCGUGGUGUAGCGGUGAAAUGCUUAGAUAUCACGAAGAACUCCGAUUG
rnacentral:rRNA from 2 species